GGAUAUGUUUGAUUGUGUGGAACCAAAUGUUAUAGCACAUAAUAUUAUUGAAAUGUACAUAAAAUAAACUAUGGAACGUUUUCUCUGCCAUGUGUCACAGGUCGCACAUAGACAAGUGCUACCGUGACUCCGUUGGAACAUCUAUGCGCUUAAGAGGUAGUCUAAGUGUGGAAAAGGCUAGAGCUUAAGAGCUAGAAUGGUUGGUGUUGGCCAGGUUGCACUUGUGAAGGAUAUUUUAGGUAUUUCUGAAGGUUACGGGAGGACCCUGAAGAAGCUAAGAAUACCGGGACGUUCGUAAUGUUAAGACGCAGGAAACGCAACUGACGGUUCACCAUUUGGAGUUCGUAUGAGGGAGUUAUGCCCAAUUAUGACUCAUCGUGCAUAGGUGAUGUUCCCUCCUGACAGAAGGCUAAAUGCAUAAAAUGCUAUAUAGGGGUGACAUGGUGUCAUGCUCUCCACCACCCCUGGUGCUUACACCCUUGUGGCACUAAGCGAGCAUCCUUAUGACAUUGGAGGUAGUCAUAAGGGCGGACAUAAGAUUGUUGAAGGAUAAUCUGUGUCUCCGAGGGAAAGGAAUUCCCGAGGACAGUACGAACACGCGGGGCCGUUCGUAUUGCGCAUCGUGGUAAAGAGUGAGGUCAACGUAUGGCAUUCGCUAUGCCAUUGGCUAGCGAUGCAUUUGACAAUACUCGAUGGACUUGGCUUGGGUUUGGCCUUGUCCAAGAUGGAAGGAAGGUAUUCGGAUGCCGGUACGCAUAGGUUGCGACCCCAUGCAAUGCAUAGAGGGUUAUGUGGGACAUUCAGAAUACAUAUGUCGCCAAGGCUUGGGCGACAUGCAAGUAUGACAGCUUGCGUGUAUAGCUUGAGGAUGUGGGCUAUCGUGGAUGCUAAAGGAAUGAAUGACAGAAGUGUGGGUAAACCGAUGGUGUGUUGGAUCGCUAUGUCUUGACUUGGACAUGAGCGAGCCAUGAGUGAAGCAUGCGACGUGGUCGAUGCAGUUGACGUGUCUUAUGCAACGCUUGAUGUAUGGGCGUCGAGGGUUCGUUGCCGGAUGCUGAGUGAUUGUAUUGUCACAUGGUAGUGUGACUCGUUGUUUAGGGGAAGACGACACUAGAAGGGGAACCUCUCGCGGAGUUGUGAGAGUCAUGAAUAUCAUGAAGUGGGAGAAGGCUGACUGGGAUCUGAAGGAAUCCUAGGCCGCACGGGUGUGCUUUGAGUGGCGAAAUUUGUGUUUCGCUUCCGCCGCGCUGCGCCGCUCGCUCAUCCCGUGACACAUGGCAUCCUAUGAUGCAAGAAUUUUGUUUAAAAAUAGCAAGUCGUAUGUAUGGCAAUAAUGUGAGAAUGUGAAGGUGAAAAUGUUUCACAUUGGUAAGUUAGAAAACCUUGCAAGGGCUUAUAAGGCUACUCUCCUCAUUGCUAAUAGGUUUUAGUGUGGAACAUCAAUUUGGUUUGUCCACGUGUGGCUGUUGGGCAUGUGAGAAUGUGAAGGUGAAAUGUCCUAUAUCGGAAAGUUAAAAAACCUUGCAAGACAUUAGAAGGUGUUGUGCUACUUUCCCCAUUGCCAAUUAGUUUUGGGGUGAAACCUCAACUUCCUUCAAAUACAGCAUUACCCUAUAAACUAAUCUUAAGUAAAAAAAAGGAAAAAAAAAAAAAUCAA